rnacentral:rRNA from 1 species
UACGUAGGGGGCUAGCGUUGUCCGGAAUCAUUGGGCGUAAAGAGCGUGUAGGCGGCCCGGUAAGUCCGCUGUGAAAGUCGGGGGCUCAACCCUCGAAUGCCGGUGGAUACUGUCGGGCUAGAGUGCGGAAGAGGCGAGUGGAAUUCCUGGUGUAGCGGUGAAAUGCGCAGAUAUCAGGAGGAACACCGAUUGCGAAGGCAGCUCGCUGGGACGUCACUGACGCUCAUGCACGAAAGCGUGGGGAGCAAACAGG